GUGUCAGCAGCCGCGGUAAUACGGAGGGUGCAAGCGUUAUCCGGAUUUACUGGGUUUAAAGGGUGCGUAGGUGGGUCUGUAAGUCAGUGGUGAAAUCUCCGGGCUUAACCCGGAAACUGCCAUUGAUACUAUAGGUCUUGAAUACUCUGGAGGUAAGCGGAAUAUGUCAUGUAGCGGUGAAAUGCUUAGAUAUGACAUAGAACACCAAUUGCGAAGGCAGCUUACUACGGGGUCAUUGACACUGAGGCACGAAAGCGUGGGGAUCAAACAGGAUUAGAUACCCUGGUAGUCCACGCCCUAAACGAUGGAUACUCGACAUCAGCGAUACACUGUUGGUGUCUGAGCGAAAGCAUUAAGUAUCCCACCUGGGAAGUACGAUCGCAAGAUUGAA
rnacentral:rRNA from 1 species